CAAAGAGGCACAGGGAGGUUUGGAGCUUGAAUGUGUCUAGAAAUAGUAUGUCUGGGAUUUUUCCCUAUCAGGUUGAGAUACAAUUUGAAGGAAACAUAUCAGGAAUGAAUCAAGCAUUAUUAGUAAAUUUUCCACAGAGAACCAAACACAGCCAUGUGAUUUGGACCACAGUCAGCACCUUUGAUGCUCCUGCCUGAGGUAUCUGGGUGAUACAGUUCUACUGAUCACAUGGUCACGGGUCUGACACAAAAGGCUCCAAACACAUUAUGGAGUUAUGUAAAUCAGGUGUAAUAUAUUGCAGCUUGACUUAGAAAGCAAUGUGUAUCCUGUUGUUUAGCUCUGUUUU